rnacentral:rRNA from 1 species
AUGUCACGACUAGCAAAGUUGAACUUAAUCCCUAGUUUCACAACCGUUAAGGGAUCUAAGUGUCAAGUGUGUGUGCAAGCUAAGCAACCUCGUAAAUCUCACGUGACUGCGGAAACGAGAAAUCUUGCACCACUAGAACUUAUACAUUCAGAUCUAUGUGAAAUGAAUGGUGUUUUGACAAAAGGUGGAAAGAAAUAUUUCAUGACGUUAAUUGACGACUCCACUAGAUACUGUUGUGUGUAUCUUCUGAAAUCUAAGGAUGAGGCUUUGAACUUUUUCAAGAUCUAUAAAGUUGAAGUGGAAAACCAACUUGAUCGAAAAAUCAAGAGGCUUAGGUCUGACCGUGGUGGAGAAACAAAGAGAUAA